UCCCGUUGAUCCUGCGGGAGAUUGCUGCUAUUAGAGUUCGACUAAGCCAUGCAAGUCUUCUAGUAAUAGAGGCAGACUGCUCAGUAACACGUCAAUAAUCUGCCCUUAGAUCUGGAAUAACCUUGGGAAACUGAGGCCAAUGCCGGAUAGGAAAAAAGUAUUGGAAUAUCUUUUUUCUCAAAGCUUCGGCGUCUAAGGAUGAGUUGGCGGCGGAUUAGGUUGUUGGUGGGGUAAAGGCCCACCAAGCCUAAGAUCCGUAGGAGCCAUGAGAGUGGUAGCUCCGAGAAGGACACUGAGAUACUGGUCCUAGCCCUACGGGGUGCAGCAGGCGCGGAUCCUUUACAAUGCACGCAAGUGUGAUAAGGGAACUCUAAGUGCUUAUGCUUUGCAUAGGCUUUUGCCAAGAGUAAAUAUCUUGGCGAAUAAGCGAUGGGCAAGACCGGUGCCAGCAGCCGCGGUAAUACCGGCGUCGCAAGUGGCAAUCACAAUUAUUGGGCCUAAGCGUCCGUAGCCGGUUUAGUAAAUUCUUCGUGAAAUCGUUGUGCUCAACAUAACGGUGUGCGAAGGAGACUGCUAAACUUGGGACAGGUGAGGAGUCAGAGGUAUUCUGAGGGGAGCGGUAAAAUGCUAUAAUCCUUGGAGGACCAUCUGUGGCGAAAGCGUCUGACUAGAACUGAUCCGACGGUGAGGGACGAAAGCUAGGGGAGCAAAGCGGAUUAGAUACCCGUGUAGUCCUAGCCAUAAACGCUGCGAGCAAGGUGUUGCAUAUUCUUCGUGAAUAUGCGGUAUCGAAACGAAGGUGUUAAGCUCGCCGCCUGGGAAGUAUGGUCGCAAGACUGAAACUUAAAGGAAUUGGCGGGGGAGCACUACAAGGGGUGCGGCGUGCGGUUUAAUCUAAUUCAACGCAGAGAAUCUCACCAGAAGCGACGGCAGGAUGAAGGUCAGGUUAAAGGCCUUACUCGACAAGCCGAGAGGUAGUGCAUGGCCAUCGUCAGCUCGUGCCGUAAGGUGUCCUGUUAAGUCAGGCAACGAGCGAGACCUGUAUUUACAAUUGCUAACGAACUAUGUGAUCGAGCACAUUGUAGGAACUGCCCGGGAAACCGGGAGGAAGGUGCAGGCUACGGUAGGUCUGUAUGCUCCGAAUCUUCUGGGCUACACGCGCGCAACAAUGGUAAGGACAAUGGGAUGCGACUCUGUAAAGAGAAGCUAAUCCUCUAAACCUUAUCUAAGUUCAGAUUGAGGAUUGUAACUCAUCCUCAUGACGCUGGAAUCCCUAGUAAUCGGAAUUUAUCAUAUUCCGGUGAAUAUGUCCCUGCUCCUUGCACACACCGCCCGUCAAACCAUCCGAGCUGGGUUUUGAUGAGGCUUGCCUUUUAGGCAAUUCGAAUCGAAGCUUAGUGAGGCGGGUUAAGUCGUCACAAGGUA
rnacentral:rRNA from 1 species